CUACGGGUGGCAGCAGUGGGGAAUAUUGGACAAUGGGGGAAACCCUGAUCCAGCAAUGCCGCGUGUGUGAAGAAGGCCUGCGGGUUGUAAAGCACUUUCGGUUGGGAGGACUGCUUCUAGCACUAAUAUUGUUGGAAGUUGACGUUACCUUCAGAAGAAGCACCGGCUAACUCCGUGCCAGCAGCCGCGGUAAUACGGAGGGUGCAGCGUUAAUCGGAAUUACUGGGCGUAAAGCGCGCGUAGGCGGCUAGAUCAGUCGGGUGUGAAAGCCCCGGGCUUAACCUGGGAACUGCAUCCGAUACUGUCUAGCUUGAGUACAGGAGAGGAGAGUGGAAUUCCACAUGUAGCGGUGAAAUGCGUAGAUAUGUGGAGGAACACCAAUGGCGAAGGCAGCUCCCUGGCCUGAUACUGACGCUGAGGUGCGAAAGCGUGGGGAGCAAACAGGAUUAGAUACCCUUGUAGUC
rnacentral:rRNA from 1 species